rnacentral:rRNA from 1 species
UACAGAGGGUGCAAGCGUUAAUCGGAAUUACUGGGCGUAAAGCGUGCGUAGACGGUUACAUAAGUCGGGUGUGAAAGCCCCGGGCUCAACCUGGGAAUUGCAUUCGAGACUGCGUAGCUAGGGUGCGGAAGAGGGAAGCGGAAUUUCCGGUGUAGCGGUGAAAUGCGUAGAUAUCGGAAGGAACACCAGUGGCGAAGGCAGCUCUCUGGUCGACCUCUGACGCUGAGACGCGAAAGCGUGGGGAGCGAACGGG